rnacentral:rRNA from 1 species
UACGUAGGGGGCAAGCGUUGUCCGGAUUCAUUGGGCGUAAAGAGCUCGUAGGCGGUUCGGCAAGUCGGGUGUGAAAACUCCAGGCUCAACCUGGAGACGCCACCCGAUACUGCUGUGACUUGAGUCCGGUAGGGGACCACGGAAUUCCUGGUGUAGCGGUGAAAUGCGCAGAUAUCAGGAGGAACACCGGCGGCGAAGGCGGGUCUCUGGGCCGAUACUGACGCUGAGGAGCGAAAGCGUGGGGAGCGAACAGG